rnacentral:rRNA from 1 species
GACGAACGCUGGCGGCGUGCUUAACACAUGCAAGUCGAACGGAAAGGCCCUGCUUUUGUGGGGUGCUCGAGUGGCGAACGGGUGAGUAACACGUGAGUAACCUGCCCUUGACUUUGGGAUAACUUCAGGAAACUGGGGCUAAUACCGGAUAGGAGCUCCUGCUGCAUGGUGGGGGUUGGAAAGUUUCGGCGGUUGGGGAUGGACUCGCGGCUUAUCAGCUUGUUGGUGGGGUAGUGGCUUACCAAGGCUUUGACGGGUAGCCGGCCUGAGAGGGUGGACGGCCACAUUGGGACUGGGAGACGGCCCAGACUGCUACCGGAGGCAGCAGUGGGGAAUAUUGCCCAAUGGGCGGAAGCCUGAUGCAGCAACGCCGCGUGCGGGAUGACGGCCUUCGGGUUGUAAACCGCUUUCGCCUGUGACGAAGCGUGAGUGACGGUAAUGGGUAAAGAAGCACCGGCUAACUACGUG